AAACUUUCAACAACGGAUCUCUUGGUUCUGGCAUCGAUGAAGAACGCAGCAAAAUGCGAUAAGUAAUGUGAAUUGCAGAAUUCAGUGAAUCAUCGAAUCUUUGAACGCACAUUGCGCCCGCCAGUAUUCUGGCGGGCAUGCCUGUUCG
rnacentral:rRNA from 1 species